AGAAAAGGGUCCUUAUGAUUAUACUCGAAGUGGAAAUCCUACACGAGAUGUUCUUGAAAGCCUUUUGGCCAAGCUGGAUAAAGCAGAUCGUGCUUUUUGCUUCACUAGUGGAAUGGCUGCUCUGUCUGCUGUAGCCCAUCUUGUUGGGAUUGGUGAAGAGAUUGUUGCUGGAGAUGACAUUUAUGGUGGUUCUGAUAGGUUGCUGUCAAAAGUAAUUCCAAAGACAAGG